UCAGAAAAUAGUAUAUAAAUAUAUAAAUAUUGGGGAUUUAAGAUGGUUUUUAAAAUCUUUUCUGAU
rnacentral:tRNA from 1 species